rnacentral:rRNA from 1 species
CGCGUAGGCGGCCUUCCAAGUCAGGCGUGAAAGCCCCGGGCUCAACCUGGGAGGUGCGCUUGGGACUGGCGGGCUGGAGUUCGGGAGAGGAGCGUGGAAUUCCCAGUGUAGAGGUGAAAUUCGUAGAUAUUGGGAAGAACACCGGUGGCGAAGGCGGCGCUCUGGACCGAGACUGACGCUGAGGCGCGAAGGCGUGGGGAGCAAACA